GUGGUUAGAUAACUUAAAGGUCCCCAUUAACUAUUUUGCCCCCAGGAAGCAGUUCCCAGUUGAUGGGGCCGUACACUCCCCACCACACUGAGAGCAUGACGUUUUUGGGGUUAAGGUCGGGUUUGGCGGCACCCUGUGGGGUUUCUCCUUCUACAAACCACUGGGCACGCGUGUGGUUCUUAUCAUGGAGGACCCACUUCUCGGUUCCAGUGAUGAGUCGGCCC
ensembl:ncRNA ZC455.15 ncRNA